AUCACUGCUGCUGUACCUGCCCUGGCUGUAACGAGCUCCAGCUGGGCUGCAGGAACCUGGCAGUGGGGUGGGACCUGCUGCUGCUUCCUUCCCUGCCUGGCCCCUGGUGAGAGCUGGUGGCUUCAGGAGCUGGGCUGGGCAGCUUUCUCCUGCUGCUGCUGGAUGCUGAGGGUGUCCUUUGUCUUCUGUGUUGUUGUUGCAGCACCCGGGUAGAGGUGGGGGAAAAAGAGGAGUCUGACUCUUGCUGGAGCUGCAGGCUUGGGGUGCUGCGUGGUCAUUGUGCAGCCUGUGCCCACUGCUGAGCCCUGCCUCCUCCCAACGAGGUGCUCCAGGAGCUCCACUUCUGCUUGCACUUGAACUUGCUGCUUGUGCUGCGAUGAAUGCCAGUGUCCUGCCCUGACCAUCACUUACCUACGGUCCCUGCGAUGCCCCUUCUGAUGGGGGCAGCUCCAGUGUUUCCUCUUGGCAGGAGCAGCUUUCUCCAGAGCUUGGUUAUUGCGGUGAUCCCGAGGGUGCUGGAUCUCUGCGAGCCAUCCUGGAUCCAAUAUUCCUGCUGCAGAAGUGUUGCCUUCAGAUGCAACAGGCAUGUGAGGGAUCUGGGCUGGUGUCCUCCACCUCCCUCCCCGCCUGGCAGGGCCCUGUCUGUGGCUCUGUGUGUGGCAGAGGUGCUCUCAGGUUUAGUUCUGCAUUUAUUUUUUUGUAUCCCUCAGGUCACAAUGCAAGUAACUUAAAAUCAGACAAGAUUUUCAAAUAAAUCUGAUUAUAUCCUCCA